CCUACGGGAGGCAGCAGUGAGGAAUAUUGGUCAAUGGACGAGAGUCUGAACCAGCCAAGUAGCGUGAAGGAUGACUGCCCUAUGGGUUGUAAACUUCUUUUAUAUGGGAAUAAAAUGUUCCACGUGUGGGAUUUUGUAUGUACCAUAUGAAUAAGGAUCGGCUAACUCCGUGCCAGCAGCCGCGGUAAUACGGAGGAUCCGAGCGUUAUCCGGAUUUAUUGGGUUUAAAGGGAGCGUAGGUGGAUUGUUAAGUCAGUUGUGAAAGUUUGCGGAUCAACCGUAAAAUUGCAGUUGAAACUGGCAGUCUUGAGUACAGUAGAGGUGGGCGGAAUUCGUGGUGUAGCGGUGAAAUGCGUAGAUAUCACGAAGAACUCCGAUUGCGAAGGCAGUUCACUGGACUGCAACUGACACUGAGGCUCGAAAGUGUGGGUAUCAAACAGGAUUAGAUACCCUUGUAGUC
rnacentral:rRNA from 1 species